rnacentral:rRNA from 1 species
GAUGAACGCUGGCGGCGUGCCUAAUACAUGCAAGUCGAGCGAACAGAUAAGGAGCUUGCUCCUUUGACGUUAGCGGCGGACGGGUGAGUAACACGUGGGUAACCUACCUAUAAGACUGGAAUAACUCCGGGAAACCGGGGCCAAUGCCGGAUAACAUUUAGAACCGCAUGGUUCUAAAGUGAAAGAUGGUUUUGCUAUCACUUAUAGAUGGACCCGCGCCGUAUUAGCUAGUUGGUAAGGUAACGGCUUACCAAGGCAACGAUACGUAGCCGACCUGAGAGGGUGAUCGGCCACACUGGAACUGAGACACGGUCCAGACUCCUACGGGAGGCAGCAGUAGGGAAUCUUCCGCAAUGGGCGAAAGCCUGACGGAGCAACGCCGCGUGAGUGAUGAAGGUCUUCGGAUCGUAAAACUCUGUUAUUAGGGAAGAACAAAUGUGUAAGUAACUGUGCACGUCUUGACGGUACCUAAUCAGAAAGCCACGGCUAACUACGUG